UUGAAACACCGGUUCUCGUAAGAUCACCGAAGUUAAGCAACGUGAAGCCUGGUCAUUGUCUAGAUGGGUGACCGUUUAUGAAUACCAGGUGCUGUAAG